GGCACCCAUGACCUGGCAGGUGUUCCGCCCCGAGGUAUCGGGCGCGGAAUGAAACGGGAAGCAGGUGAGAAUCCUGCGCUGCCCCCGCAACGGUGAUGGGAGGGCCCGGGCCGCAGACGGCCCCGGGCGCCGCGAGACAGUUGAGCCACUGCGCAUUGGCGUGGGAAGGCGUUUCGCGGCAUCGACGCGCGUCGAUACUCCCCGAGCCCGGAGACCGGCCUGACAGGUUGCAACCGG
rnacentral:ncRNA from 1 species